rnacentral:rRNA from 1 species
CAUUACUGAGUGAGGGCCCUCUGGGUCCAACCUCCCACCCGUGUUUAUUGUACCUUGUUGCUUCGGUGCGCCCGCCUCACGGCCGCCGGGGGGCUUCUGCCCCCGGGUCCGCGCGCACCGGAGACACCAUUGAACUCUGUCUGAAGAUUGCAGUCUGAGCAUAAACUAAAUAAGUUAAAACUUUCAACAACGGAUCUCUUGGUUCCGGCAUCGAUGAAGAACGCAGCGAAAUGCGAUAACUAAUGUGAAUUGCAGAAUUCAGUGAAUCAUCGAGUCUUUGAACGCACAUUGCGCCCCCUGGUAUUCCGGGGGGCAUGCCUGUCCGAGCGUCAUUGCUGCCCUCAAGCACGGCUUGUGUGUUGGGCUCCGUCCCCCCGGGGACGGGUCCGAAAGGCAGCGGCGGCACCGAGUCCGGUCCUCGAGCGUAUGGGGCUUUGUCACCCGCUCUGUAGGCCCGGCCGGCGCCAGCCGACAACCAAUCAUCCUUUUCAGGUUGACCUCGGAUCAGGUAGGGAUACCCGCUGAACUUAAGCAUAUCAAUAA